GGGGUGGAAGCCAGGAAGACGGCAAAGAGAGCGAGCAGGAAGCGGCGUUCGGGGCUUUGCGGGAGACAGCGAGAACAAAGGCCAUUAAUCACAAGUGCAAGAUGUUGGCUCUCGUGUGCGCUGGUGCUCAAUGGACCGUGGAAUGCUCCUAUAAUCGGAGCAGGACCCAGUGGCACAAACCACAGCACUUUUCCUCCCACAGCCAACAGCCGACAGGGGAAUAUACUUUCCGUACCGCAGUCCUGGACAGCUGCGGUUGAAUGAAUGAAGCCCUGGCAACAACAACAACCAUCACCACCAACAACAACAAAACAAGUUGCAGAUUUUCACGUGCCAACCCCAUACGGACCGUGUGGGUUCGGUCUCACUGAUCAGUAGGUGGCGCUAGAAAGUCACUUG